rnacentral:lncRNA from 1 species
CGGAGUUGAAGGUGCCUGUGAUACCUACACACUGAUUCUUUGGAAACAGAGAAUGGAGAAUUGUGGUAGACUCCCAUUAGCAUUAUGUGGUCUCCACAAAACCCUAUUUUCUCAAGUCUGAAGACAUUUAAAGGAAUGGAUUACAUUAAAAGACAAACACAAAAAUCCACCAGAUCAUCAAUCAAAAGAAGAAAAAGUAUCCCCAAAAGGGUGAAAAUUCUGUGGCAGAAGAAAAUGGAAGAUAUUAUCAGCAAAUAAUAUCAAUGGUCAAAGGCAACAUGAUUUGAAAAGGACCCAGGAGAGAGAAUAUUGAGGAAGGCUUCAAAUCAAAGUGAAACCACCAAUAUGUGAUUUGCUUCUGCUUCCAAUUUGUCUAGAAGGAUUUUGCCACUCCCAUCUAGUAAACCACCAAUGCCAAAUAAAAGCACUAUAUUACAUGCG